UAGUCCAAGCCACCAUGAUUUUGUGCUUGGACUAUUGCAGUAGCAUCCUAGCUGCU
rnacentral:miRNA from 1 species